UCCGUGUUCACCACGGCAGUCUCUUUAGAGAGCCCAACUGAAUGCUGGCAACUAAAGACAAGGGUUGCGCUCGUUGCGGGACUUAACCCAACAUGUCACCACACGAGCUGACGACAGCCAUGCAGCACCUGUCAUCUGGCUGUAUUGCUACAGAAACCGUAUUUCUACGGCGGUCCAGAGAUGUCAAACCCAGGUAAGGUUUUGCGCGUUGCUUCGAAUUAAACCACAUGAUCCACCGCUUGUGCGGGUCCCCGUCAAUUCCUUUGAGUUUUAAUCUUGCGACCGUACUCCCCAGGCGGUCUACUUCCCGCGUUAGCUGCGUUACCAAGGAAAUUAAUCCCCGACAACUAGUAGACAUCGUUUAGGGCGUGGACUAC
rnacentral:misc_RNA from 1 species